rnacentral:rRNA from 1 species
GAUGAACGCUGGCGGCGUGCCUAAUACGUGCAAGUCGAGCGCGAGAGUGAGGAGCUUGCUCCUCAUGAUCGAGCGGCGGACGGGUGAGUAACACGUAGGCAACCUACCCUUGAGAUUGGGAUAACUACCGGAAACGGUAGCUAAUACCGGAUACGACUUUUCCACAUAAGUGGAAUGGUUAAAAGGCGGAUUUAUCUGCAGCUCAUGGAUGGGCCUGCGGUGCAUUAGCUAGUUGGUGAGGUAGUGGCUCACCAAGGCGACGAUGCAUAGCCGACCUGAGAGGGUGAUCGGCCACACUGGGACUGAGACACGGCCCAGACUCCUACGGGAGGCAGCAGUAGGGAAUCUUCCGCAAUGGACGAAAGUCUGACGGAGCAACGCCGCGUGAGUGAUGAAGGGUUUCGGCUCGUAAAACUCUGUUGUUAAGGAAGAACACUUGAGGUAGUAACUGGCCUUGAGAUGACGGUACUUAACCAGAAAGCCACGGCUAACUACGUGCCAGCCGCCGCAGUAA